AGGAGUGUGAAUGGUAUGUCUAU
rnacentral:siRNA from 1 species